UACGGAGGGUGCGAGCGUUGUCCGGAAUCACUGGGCGUAAAGGGCGCGUAGGCGGUUGGGGAAGUCCGUGGUGAAAGCCCGUGGCUCAACUACGAGUCGGCCAUGGAUACUCCUUGACUUGAGCACUGUAGAGGCUAAUGGAAUUCCGGGUGUAGCGGUGGAAUGCGUAGAGAUCCGGAAGAACACCGGUGGCGAAGGCGGUUAGCUGGGCAGUUGCUGACACUGAGGCGCGACAGCGUGGGGAGCAAACAGG
rnacentral:rRNA from 1 species